rnacentral:lncRNA from 1 species
UGGGGUUAAUAAUUAAAUGUUGUGUUAAUCUGAUCUUGUUAAUAUUUUAAUGCAAAACAAAUAUUACUAUAAAUUAAAAGGGAAAAGGUAUUUCUAAACAUCUGAAAAACCAAAGAUCAAAAUAAAAAGCAACCUUUUGAAUUUAGUUAAAAAAUUUUGGGGAAGAGUAAGACAGAGUGAAAGGACUCCAUGAUAGAAACAUAUUUCUGAAAUUAUUAUGCAAUUUUUUCUCCAAAUAUUUCCCUUUUUUCCCUCUAUCUUUCAAUUUGAUAGUUGGCCAGGGCUAAUUGUCUCCUCGAUGCUUUUUGGAUUGAAAUUUCCAAUGGCCCAAGAUUUAAAGGAAACAGGUGGUGUGGAUUUGAGGAGAGUGGAGCUUUCUUUGGAAAACAGGAAAGAUUUCCUUGGGCUGAGAAAGAGAGAGACUCUGUCCUGGACAGAGGGGCCCUGCUUCCUGGACAGCCCCACGAAGAUCCGCUUGGUGCAAGUGCAAAAGAAACCACAGAUGGAAGCUCACAGAUGGAAGCCCGCUGAUCAUACAGCUGUUUCUUUGUUGCCUUCUGCCAUCCACUGUGAGAGACAUAUGCCCUGGACUGCUAUUUGUUCAAGUGGAGUGAGAAAAUGCACGGAGCAGACCUAA